GGGAUAACCCGGAGAAAUCCGGCCUAAUACCGCAUGUGGCCGAGGGGAGGCAUCUUCUUUCGGCCAAAGGAGGCAACUCCGGAGACGGAUGGGCAUGCGUGACAUUAGCUUGUUGGCGGGGUAACGGCCCACCAAGGCGACGAUGUCUAGGGGUUCUGAGAGGAAGGUCCCCCACACUGGUACUGAGACACGGACCAGACUCCUACGGGAGGCAGCAGUGAGGAAUAUUGGUCAAUGGGCGAGAGCCUGAACCAGCCAAGUCGCGUGAAGGAUGACGGCCCUACGGGUUGUAAACUUCUUUUGUCAGGGAGCAAUUGAGUCCACGUGUGGGCUUAGCGAGAGUACCUGAAGAAAAAGCAUCGGCUAACUCCGUGCCAGCAGCCGCGGUAAUACGGAGGAUGCGAGCGUUAUCCGGAUUUAUUGGGUUUAAAGGGUGCGUAGGCGGAAUAUCAAGUCAGCGGUAAAAAUUCGGGGCUCAACCCCGUCGUGCCGUUGAAACUGAUGUUCUUGAGUGGGCGAGAAGUAUGCGGAAUGCGUGGUGUAGCGGUGAAAUGCAUAGAUAUCACGCAGAACUCCGAUUGCGAAGGCAGCAUACCGGCGCCCAACUGACGCUGAAGCACGAAAGCGUGGGUAUCGAACAGGAUUAGAUACCCUGGUAGUCCACGCAGUAAACGAUGAAUA
rnacentral:rRNA from 1 species